CGCGGCCUAUCAGCUUGUUGGUGGGGUGAUGGCCUACCAAGGCGACGACGGGUAGCCGGCCUGAGAGGGCGACCGGCCACACUGGGACUGAGACACGGCCCAGACUCCUACGGGAGGCAGCAGUGGGGAAUAUUGCACAAUGGGCGGAAGCCUGAUGCAGCGACGCCGCGUGAGGGAUGACGGCCUUCGGGUUGUAAACCUCUUUCAGCAGGGACGAAGCGUAAGUGACGGUACCUGCAGAAGAAGCGCCGGCCAACUACGUGCCAGCAGCCGCGGUAAGACGUAGGGCGCGAGCGUUGUCCGGAUUUAUUGGGCGUAAAGAGCUCGUAGGCGGCUUGUCGCGUCGACUGUGAAAACCCGCGGCUCAACCGCGGGCCUGCAGCCGAUACGGGCAGGCUAGAGUUCGGUAGGGGAGACUGGAAUUUCUGGUGUAGCGGUGAAAUGCGCAGAUAUCAGGAGGAACACCGAUGGCGAAGGCAGGUCUCUGGGCCGAUACUGACGCUGAGGAGCGAAAGCGUGGGGAGCGAACAGGAUUAGAUACCCUGGUAGUCCACGCUGUAAACGUUGGGCGCUAGGUGUGGGGGACCUCUCCGGUUCUCUGUGCCGCAGCUAACGCAUUAAGCGCCCCGCCUGGGGAGUACGG
rnacentral:rRNA from 1 species